UAAUAAGUGUUUUAUGGCACUUUUUAAAUCCAUAUCCACCUUGUGUGCAAUGUCAGUCGAUCUUCUUCAUGGAGAUCGACCAAACAUCAACCUUUAUCUCUUAACUCUUUGUCUGAAAAAUAUUAUGAAUAAACAAUUCAAAAUA
rnacentral:misc_RNA from 1 species